GACGAACGCUGGCGGCGUGCUUAACACAUGCAAGUCGAGCGGUAAGGCCCUUUCGGGGGUACACGAGCGGCGAACGGGUGAGUAACACGUGGGUGACCUGCCCUCAGCUCUGGGAUAAGCCUGGGAAACCGGGUCUAAUACCGGAUAUGACUCCAUGACGCAUGUUGUGGGGUGGAAAGCCUUGUGCGGCUGAGGAUGGGCCCGCGGCCUAUCAGCUUGUUGGUGGGGUGANGGCCUACCAAGGCGACGACGGGUAGCCGGCCUGAGAGGCGACCGGCCACACUGGGACUGAGACACGGCCCAGACUCCUACGGGAGGCAGCAGUGGGGAAUCUUGCGCAAUGGGCGAAAGCCUGACGCAGCGACGCCGCGUGAGGGAUGA
rnacentral:rRNA from 1 species